UCUGAAACCACAGGAUGUCCUUCGGGACACGAGUUGGCGGAUGCGUGGGACCUGAUCUGGUAGUAGCCAAGCGAUGGGGUGACGCAGGAAGGUAGCUGGGCCAGUCAGUGGUUGUACUGGUGUAAGAGUGUAGGCCGUGACAUAGGCAAAUCCGUGUCACAUUAAGGCUGAGACUUGAUGCAUACCCGUUGUGGGGAAUUCAGUGAUCCUAUGCUGCCGAGAAAAGCCUCUAGUGAGUUCAUACACGGCCCGUACCCCAAACCGACACAGGUGAUCAGGUAGAGAAUACCAAGGCGAUCGAGAGAACUGUGGUUAAGGAACUCGGCAAAAUGCCCCCGUAACUUCGGGAGAAGGGGGACCAUGCCCGGUGAACAUCUUCACGGUGGGAGCUGGGUGUGGUCGCAGAGACCAGAGAGAAGCGACUGUUUACUAAAAACACAGGUCCGUGCGAAGACGUAAGUCGAUGUAUACGGACUGACGCCUGCCCGGUGCUGGAAGGUUAAGAGGACCGGUUAGCCGUAAGGCGAAGCUGAGAAUUUAAGCCCCAGUAAACGGCGGUGGUAACUAUAACCAUCCUAAGGUAGCGAAAUUCCUUGUCGGGUAAGUUCCGACCUGCACGAAUGCCGUAACGACUUCUCUGCUGUCUCGACCACAGACUCGGCGAAAUUGCACUACGAGUAAAGAUGCUCGUUACGCGCGGCAGGACGAAAAGACCCCGGGACCUUUACUAUAGCUUGGUAUUGGCGUUCGAUUCGGUUUGUGUAGGAUAGGUGGGAGACUGUGAAGCAUGCACGCCAGUGUGUGUGGAGUCGUUGUUGAAAUACCACUCUGAUCGUAUUGGACGUCUAACCUCGGCCCAUGAUCUGGGUUAGGGACAGUGCCUGGCGGGUAGUUUAACUGGGGCGGUUGCCUCCUAAAGAGUAACGGAGGCGCCCAAAGGUUCCCUCAGCCUGGAUGGCAAUCAGGUGUUGAGUGCAAGUGCACAAGGGAGCUUGACUGUGAGACUGACACGUCGAGCAGGGACGAAAGUCGGGACUAGUGAUCCGGCACCGGCAAGUGGAAGCGGUGUCGCUCAACGGAUAAAAGGUACCCCGGGGAUAACAGGCUGAUCUUCCCCAAGAGUCCAUAUCGACGGGAUGGUUUGGCACCUCGAUGUCGGCUCGUCGCAUCCUGGGGCUGGAGUAGGUCCCAAGGGUUGGGCUGUUCGCCCAUUAAAGCGGCACGCGAGCUGGGUUUAGAACGUCGUGAGACAGUUCGGUCUCUAUCCGCCGCGCGCGUAAGAAACUUGAGGAAGGCUGUCCCUAGUACGAGAGGACCGGGACGGACGAACCUCUGGUGUGCCAGUUGUUCCACCAGGAGCAUGGCUGGUUAGCUACGUUCGGAAGGGAUAACCGCUGAAAGCAUCUAAGCGGGAAGCCUGUUCCAAGAUGAGGUUUCUCACCACCUUGCGUGGUUAAGGCCCCCUACAGACCAUGGGGUUGAUAGGCCGGAACUGGAAGCGCAGCAAUGCGUGGAGGUGACCGGUACUAAUAAGCCGAGGGCUUACU
rnacentral:rRNA from 1 species